rnacentral:snoRNA from 1 species
GAAUUGCAAUGAUGAUACCAUAAAAGCAUAGUUCAGCUGAGUGACAAGCAUGCUGAUACUCCAAUCCAUCGAUUUGCACGUCAGUCUGAGUCAAUUC